AAAUCAGGUAGGAGUACCCGCUGAACUUAAGCAUAUCAAUAAGCGGAGGAAAAGAAACCAACCGGGAUUGCCUUAGUAACGGCGAGUGAAGCGGCAAAAGCUCAAAUUUGAAAUCUGGUACCUUCGGUGCCCGAGUUGUAAUUUGGAGAGGGCAACUUUGGGGCCGUUCCUUGUCUAUGUUCCUUGGAACAGGACGUCAUAGAGGGUGAGAAUCCCGUGUGGCGAGGAGUGCGGUUCUUUGUAAAGUGCCUUCGAAGAGUCGAGUUGUUUGGGAAUGCAGCUCUAAGUGGGUGGUAAAUUCCAUCUAAAGCUAAAUAUUGGCGAGAGACCGAUAGCGAACAAGUACAGUGAUGGAA
rnacentral:rRNA from 1 species